UACGAAGGGUGCAAACGUUGCUCGGAAUUAUUGGGCGUAAAGCGCACGUAGGCGGCUUUGUAAGUCGGAUGUGAAAUCCCUCGGCUUAACCAAGGAAGUGCAUCCGAAACUACAGAGCUUGAGUACUUAAGGGGAUCGCGGAAUUCCCGGUGUAGAGGUGAAAUUCGUAGAUAUCGGGAGGAACACCAGUGGCGAAGGCGGCGAUCUGGGAAGAUACUGACGCUGAGGUGCGAAAGCGUGGGGAUCAAACAGG
rnacentral:rRNA from 1 species